UACGUAGGGUGCAAGCGUUAAUCGGAAUUACUGGGCGUAAAGCGUGCGCAGGCGGUUUUGUAAGUCUGACGUGAAAUCCCCGGGCUCAACCUGGGAACUGCAUUUGUGACUGCACGGCUAGAGUGUGUCAGAGGGGGGGUAGAAUUCCACGUGUAGCAGUGAAAUGCGUAGAUAUGUGGAGGAAUACCGAUGGCGAAGGCAGCCCCCCUGGGAUAACACUGACGCUCAUGCACGAAAGCGUGGGGGAGCAAACAGG
rnacentral:rRNA from 1 species